rnacentral:misc_RNA from 1 species
CGCCCCCGUCAUCGUGCAGCUCCUGGGUGCCGAAGACGCCGGUGAGGGUGAGCACGCGCAUGAGGCGCCGCAGGCAUGGUGUCUUGGACGGGUGGAGCGUGAUCCUGGUGACUAUCUGUGGGAUGGUGGCCGAGCCGCCGUGCUGGUGGAUGGCAUCGGGUAUGCCGAGGUCGAGCGCGGCCUUGAGCGCCAUGGACUUGACGUAGCCGAAGGUGUGGUUCCACAGCUGGAGCUCGGCAUCCAGCGCCACCUGCUGUUCGCUGCUUGUCGUGUGUUGUUGCUCAGAAAUUGUGAGUUUUUGCUCCUUGCUGAGCGCCAUAUGCCGCCACCUGGCUUUUAUUUUGCUGU